rnacentral:lncRNA from 1 species
UGUAAGUUGAAUUAAUUUCUUUUAUAUAUGAAACUUUUGUUCUUUUUGCUUGCAGGAAAAUAGCAAAAAAUUAAAAAUGAAGUUUCCACCUAAGAUUGCAAACAGGAAAACAAAAAGCAAAACAAAUAAGGGGGGGAUAACUCAGCCAAACAUAAACGAUAGCUUGGAAAUUACCAAACUGGACUCUUCCAUCAUUUCAGAAGGGAAAAUAUCUACUGUUGCACCGCAGAUCCAGGCUUUUACGCUACAGAAGGCAGCAGCAGGUUUGAUGAGCCUUCUUCGUGACAUGGGAAAAGGUUAUUUAGCCUUGUGCUCAUACAACUGCAAAGAAGCGAUAAAUAUUCUAAGCCAUUUGCCAUCUCACCACUACAACACUGGCUGGGUGCUGUGCCAAAUUGGGAGAGCUUACUUUGAACUCGCAGAAUACAUGCAGGCUGAAAGGAUAUUUUCAGAAGUGAGGAGGAUUGAAAACUACAGAGUAGAAGGCAUGGAGAUCUAUUCAACUACGCUGUGGCAUCUGCAGAAAGACGUUGCUCUUUCAGUUCUUUCAAAGGAUUUAACAGACAUGGAUAAAAAAC